rnacentral:lncRNA from 1 species
AUGCCUGAUGCUCUAGUCCCUACUCUUCAGUGUUCUCCAACCCCAAACUCCUCCCCUAUCCCAGCGAUUUUUUUUUUUUUCAGUAAACACCCCAAGCUUGAGCAGUCUGUGGAGCAUUUUGUUUUUGCAUCUCAUUUCUGGUACUUAAUCAGACUUCUGCAGCUUGGAGAGGUCAUUGCUGAGAUGAGGCCUCAGGUAAAUGCAGUGCUUUUCCUACUCUGUAACCUUUCCAUAGAUGGGGUCAUAAAUUCAGAACUGGAAGGCCCCUCAACGGUCAUCCAGCUGGAAUUCAGACUUAGGUCCUUAGACUCCCCGGGGACCAUAAUUACCACCAUUUCCCAGAUUCUUCAACAGAGCAUUCCCUCUCUGGCAUCCCUGCACAUGGUCCUUUCAGGCCAAUUUGUGGAAUUGAUCUUAAUGGCAAGUACGAUGUCUCUCUCAUUUUGUAUUCACAGAACUUCAAACAUCCCCUCUUGGUUGGACCAAGAAGGGUUAAAUGAGUCUGAUGAAUUGUGGAGGCUGCUGGUAUUGAGAAGUGUGAACUCCAGUCUGCAUGAGGCCAGCCAGGAAAUGCCAGAUUUACCAGCAUUCUUUGACAAGAACACCAGGAAUGAUAAGAGCUCACAGCAACCAGCCCUCUUUAAAGUGGGGACAGAAGAGUUUCAGUGGACACCUUUCCCCCCUGCCUUCACAUUUGUUGGUCAGUUCAAAAACCCAGACUCUUCUCAUUUCACAAAAGGGAAACCUGCUCUGAUCCUCCAUGAACAAGCGCAGGGAGUGGGCCAGAGCAGCGGGCCUUCCUCCUGGGGGCCCUCUGCUGGGGGCCGCGAGAACCUGGAGCCAAGGCGUGACCAUGGAACUGGGGUGAAAAGGCCUUUGGAACGAAGGGACAGUGGCAUCGAGGCUUCGAAGAGCAGACUUCCACAGCGCAGGAAGAAACAGAGACUUUGGGGGGAGGGCGACGCCUCCUCCCCAGCAUCUCCCCAGACCCUCACCUCAGGGGUGAGCCGUCCAGGGUACUCUUCCUCUGAAGAGCCCAGGCACAGCCUUUGCUCAGAGGGUGCCAGAGUGGAAAAAGAUGCCGCCUCUGCUGCCGUGAGCCAGGGAAUAGUGGCACUUGAUAGCUGUCCGAUGUGCCAGGUCCCAUUUACUGGAAAGUUCUCCCAGCUGGAUAUUGAUAGCCAUCUUGCUAAAUGCUUGUCAGAGAGUAUUGAAGAUGUGACGUGGUAAACUUAGUAGGAACAGCUCACAAGAAAUCCAUUUAUAAA